CUGUAACCCAGGGAAGUCACCCUCCUGCAUCUAAAAGGUAGGAAACAGGAGGGUGACUAAAAUAUUUUGUGUAUAUGUGUCUGUGUCUUAAUGUGUGUCUGUGUGUCCGUCUGUGUGUGUGUGUGUGUGGGUAUGUUUGUCUGUGUGCUUGCAUGUAUGUGUCUGUAUAUAUGUGUCUCUGUGUGUGUGUGUUUGUAUGUAUGUGUCUGUAUG